rnacentral:tRNA from 1 species
GAGAGAAUAGCUCAAUGGUAGAGCAAUAGUUUUCAAAACUAAAGGCUAAAAGUUCAAAUCUUUUUUCUCUUG